GUGAAGAACGUAGUGAAAUGCGAUACGUAAUGUGAAUUGCAAAUUCAGUGAAUCAUCGAGUCUUUGAACGCACAUUGCGCCCCCUGGUAUUCCGGGGGGCAUGCCUGUCCGAGCGUCAUUGCUGCCCUCAAGCACGGCUUGUGUGUUGGGCCCCGUCCUCCGAUCCCGGGGGACGGGCCCGAAAGGCAGCGGCGGCACCGCGUCCGGUCCUCGAGCGUAUGGGGCUUUGUCACCCGCUCUGUAGGCCCGGCCGGCGCUUGCCGAUCAACCCAAAUUUUUAUCCAGGUUGACCUCGGAUCAGGUAGGGAUACCCGCUGAACUUAAGCAUAUCAAUAAGCGGAGGA
rnacentral:misc_RNA from 1 species